UUCUUUCAUUCUAUCGUUCCCCGGUUCCCGGCAUCCCCCUGCGAACCAGUUUUGAUACCAGUUCUGGUUCUCUAAGCCGGCAAAUGCAGCAGCGAAGCAAGAGCAGCUGCCCCCUGAUUUUUGAGCGAACACAUGGCACGGCAGCUGAUAGUCCGACCGGCCCGGCCGCCUUGUCUUUCUCUUUUUCUUGCUCACUCUCAGUCUCUUUGUAACUGAGUCAGCGUGGUGGAGGUGCCGCCACAUAAAGCAAAAAUUUUGCCAUUGUUUCUAGUGUAUUGCCAUGUACAUGUGCGUGCGAGUGUUUGUUUGCUUUGCUUCCUUAUGCACUGAGACCUACAAGUAUGUAUGUAUGUAUGUAUUUAUAUCGUCACACACACACAUACACGUGGGCAUAAACCAUACGUACGUAAGUAUACAUAUGUAUGCACGUAUAUAUUUGGGCAUAUGUAUGUAUAUGUAUAUUUAUACAUACACAUACAUAUGUAUGUAUGUGCUGCUUCUUUAAACAAAGUACAGUCGUCGCACUGCGCUGCUAAUGGUGAAAACUUGCAAGCGACACACACACUCGCAUGAAUAAGUCUGUAUGCAUGUAUAGUGACGGUGAGCUGGCUUAUGGCGAAGGGCUGUUGGGGAGAGGGCAAAACUUCAACUUGACUGCGUGGUCUUCGCUGCUGCACUUGGCAACAAGUUACACCCGGCUGGCUGCAUGCGCACCGCGUUCAACCGUUUUGUCUGCGCUCUCUCGCUGCUGAUUGAGGGUCAAGGUCAGCGAGCAUUCGCAUCAGCUGCUGCGCAUGUGCAGCUCUUGCAACGAGCUUCAUGUGAAAUUGAACAAAGCUGCUGAUGGGCGCUCUCCAAACUGCAGACUGGAUUUAUAUGCACUGUACUUGUGCACGAUUCGUUGGUAAAGUUACGAUUGGAAGAGACUGGAACCGAAACUGGAAUUCAAUCACAAAAUGAGUGCAUAAAUACAGAUUGAUGAAUGUAUGUAUGUGUGUACAGUAUUUUAGUAUAUGUAUGUGAUUUAUUUCAAUUUUACGAAUGUAAGUAUUAACAGGCUUUUAAUCAAAUCGACCUUUUUUAGACAUCUAUAAAAUUAUUAUUAAUUAUUUAGCAAUUUUUCAUAGAAGACCAACUUCGUACAAUCCUUAAAAGGUCGGACGUGUAUGUAUGUACAUACAGUGGGCCAAAAAAGUAUUGGCACACUUGAAAAAUCGAACUUCUAAGAGCUGCAACUUUUUUUUGAACACAGCUAUAUAUAAAUUAAAAACGGCAUUUAUUAAAUCCAUGUUUUCUAAUAAUAUUUAACAAAAAAAAUUAAAUUUCUUGUUUGGUUCACUUGCACAGAACUAAAAUAUAAAUAUAGGCACAAAUUUUCGUAAAAAAAAGUAUUGGCACACACUAUGUUCUAGCUUACGCUUUCGUUGCUACAACCGUAAACUACCGUUAUUUUUCAUUCCUUCUUUUACACAUCGCUUCAUUUUGGUUCUUGCACGUGUUUGCAA